rnacentral:lncRNA from 1 species
UCACAGCUUCAGGAUCUCCACGACACAGGGCAACAACAGGAUAUCUGAGAAGAGUUUGGUGAAGAUCCGGAACUGGUAGUGUAGCAGGAGCCAGACCAAUGACUCAUUGCAAUAACCACUUGCAAGAAAAGAUGUUUGGACGAAAGUCUUGGACCAACAGCUUUCCAUUUCUUGAACUACGUUUCCAACAAUGUAAUGCCGUGGUCAGCCAGAAAGGCUCUCUGAGAAGGAUUGCCACAGGAACUUCCUUAGGAAAUCUGAUAAUUCCCUGACAUUAUGAGGACUGUGUCAAAGAUGUGGCUGACGCAUGGCUUGGUGUGCACCAUGGAAGAUGCUGUGAGAAAGUCCUGCUCUGCUCCACGUGAUGAGAG